rnacentral:lncRNA from 1 species
UUGAUUUUACCACAGUAAAUGGUACGUGCGUGGACCAUAUAAAUUGUAAGAGAGAGUACACGUACGGGUACUAUUGCAAGUAAUUAUGUGAAUUGACAUUUAAUUGAGCUAGUAUUUAUCUAUGAAAAAUAUUUAGACCGACACAAUUAUUUGAACAUACUAUUUAAUCACAUCUGCAAAAGUAUAUAUUAUUUAAUUUGUUUUUUAUUCCACACUUUUUCAAAUAUAUAAGGGUGACUAAAAUAAUAUAAACAAAUUUUUGUGACUGUAGAAGAAUUUUUUGAUCUCUGUCUACUUAAAUUUAAUAGGUAAUUACCAUUUAAUUAGUUCUCCAUUAAUGGUAUUAGAGACACAGUAAUUAGGUCAUCUGUUGGGUACUUAAGUCUUAAGUUUCUUACUUAAUUCUAUUAGGAAGAAGCUCUUUGGUAACCCAUUAUAAUUGGAAGCUCAAUUUGAUAAUGAAAUACUACUUACUAUUAGAUGUAUAAUUGUGUACAAUCAAGACUCAUUUAGAUAUUUAAUUGGAAAAGGUCUUAUAUGAGCCUAAGGUAUGAGCUCAAAAUAUAGACACUCUUACAUAAAAAGAAGAAAAUAGAAAAAGAAAAAUACAUAUUUUUAAAAUAAUUAAAUGAUAUAUAUUUGAGAUUGUGUCCAACCAAUUAUUUUUCGCUUAAUUGAGAAUGACCGAAAUGAUGAUGGUUUUAAUAAGACCCAACUACCCAAGAAAUAAUCGACUCUCAAAUCUAAAAAAAAAGUCAAAUUUUUAUGAAGAGUCAAUAAUAGUGGGUGGUGCAAAUCCCUAUUUAUAUAUUCUUGUUUUGUACUAUCAUCUAUCCUUUGAAAAGAUGAGUAAUUCAAUAGUUAAAAUUAGAGAAAUUAACUUUAUAAUGCUAUUGAAAAUACAAAAACUAUUGACUAUCAAUUUAGUUCAUGAUAAAUAUGGACUAUAAUGUGAGAAAUCAUUUCUAACAUUUUGUUAAUUUCAUUAAAAAAAAAAUACAAAGAUUUAAAAGAUAUGUAUUAUUGGUGUAAAUUGAUUUCAUAUCAACACUCAACAAAAAUACACUAUUUGGUCACGUCCCCUCAUUUUAUACAAUUUUUUUUAGGUAAAUUAAGAGCAUUAUAAGACAUCAUAAUAAUUAGUAAACAUUAGAGAGACAUCUAGUAGCACUA